AUCAAAACUUGAAUUCUGACUAAGGUUGGAAAUAGCAUCAUUAACCGUAUCAAUGCUGUAAAGUUCCUCUGAAAGCAAAGUCAUCACUGAAGGUGCAUCAACAUUGGCUGAAAAGGCAUUGGCAAUACUUAGCAUUUCAGGUAAAUUGGACGCGAGCUUUAAUAGAAUUAGGUAUUGUGCUUGUGAGAGAUGAAUUAAAAGCUCAGAAAUUCCACAAUGUAAAUCAAUUGCAUAAUUUGUUAUAGCAGAAUCGACAGCCUGUACG